UACGUAGGGUCCGAGCGUUGUCCGGAAUUACUGGGCGUAAAGAGCUCGUAGGUGGUUUGUCGCGUUGUUCGUGAAAACUCACAACUCAAUUGUGGGCGUGCGGGCGAUACGGGCAGACUGGAGUACUGCAGGGGAGACUGGAAUUCCUGGUGUAGCGGUGGAAUGCGCAGAUAUCAGGAGGAACGACCGGUGGCGAAGGCGGGUCUCUGGGCAGUAACUGACGCUGAGGAGCGAAAGCGUGGGGAGCGAACAGG
rnacentral:rRNA from 1 species